rnacentral:rRNA from 1 species
CCUACGGGAGGCAGCAGUGGGGAAUAUUGGACAAUGGGCGCAAGCCUGAUCCAGCCAUACCGCGUGUGUGAAGAAGGCCUUUUGGUUGUAAAGCACUUUAAGCGAGGAGGAGGCUCUUGAGGUUAAUACCCUUGAUGAGUGGACGUUACUCGCAGAAUAAGCACCGGCUAACUCUGUGCCAGCAGCCGCGGUAAUACAGAGGGUGCGAGCGUUAAUCGGAAUUACUGGGCGUAAAGCGCGCGUAGGCGGCUUGUUAAGUCGGAUGUGAAAUCCCCGGGCUCAACCUGGGCACUGCAUUCGAUACUGGCAAGCUAGAGUAUGGGAGAGGAAGGUAGAAUUCCAGGUGUAGCGGUGAAAUGCGUAGAGAUCUGGAGGAAUACCGAUGGCGAAGGCAGCCUUCUGGCCUAAUACUGACGCUGAGGUGCGAAAGCAUGGGGAGCAAACAGGAUUAGAUACCCUGGUAGUCCAUGCCGUAAACGAUGUCAACUAGCCGUUGGGGACCUUGAGUCUUUAGUGGCGCAGCUAACGCGAUAAGUUGACCCGCCUGGGGAGUACGGUCGCGAAGACUAAAACUCAAAAGUAGUAAGUUACGGACGGNGUUAGGACGUUGGCCGACGGGAGGACCACCAGGGGAGGGGAGGAGGG